rnacentral:lncRNA from 1 species
UGCAAUAAAAUUGAACCAUUAUCAGAAUCAGUGUACAAGCCAAGCAUAGACACAAACAUAAACUUAACCUAUACUACUAAUUCAAAGUACAAAGAAAAAGAAAAAGAAAAAUCUCUGUCCAAAUGUUGGCAUCCAUCAGUAAAUGCCCUUAGCGCAGAUCCUCAUCUGAAUCAUACUCAUCCUCCUCCUAGGCAUCCUCAAAGUCCUCAUCCUCCCGGUCAUCAUCUUGUCCACCUGAGGUUCUAGCUACUCUAGACCCACUACCCUAUGCUUGCCCUUGAAGCCAAGCCAUCACACUAUGAA